CUGCGAAUGGCUCAUUAAAUCAGUUAUCGUUUAUUUGAUUGUGCCCUACUACUUGGAUAACCGUGGUAAUUCUAAAGCUAAUACAUGCGCAAAACCCCCAACUUCCGGAGGGGGGGAUUUAUUAAAUUAAAAGCCAAUGCCCUCUGGGCUCUUUGGUGAUUCAUGGUAACUAAACGAAUCUCAUGGCCUUGCGCCCGCGAUGGCUCAUUCAAAUUUCUGCCCUAUCAACUUUCAAUGGUAGGCUAGUGGCCUACCAUGGUUGCAACGGGUAACGGGGAAUG
rnacentral:rRNA from 1 species